rnacentral:rRNA from 1 species
GCCUAAUACAUGCAAGGUCGAACGGUCUUUCUAUGGAAGCUUGCUUCCACUGAGAAGAUAGUGGCGAACGGGUGAGUAACACGUGGGUAACCUGCCCAUAAGAGGGGGAUAACAUCCGGAAACGGGUGCUAAUACCGCAUAGUUUUUCUGAUCGCAUGAUUGAGAAAGGAAAGACGGCCUUUGUGCUGUCGCUUAUGGAUGGACCCGCGGCGUAUUAGUUAGUUGGUGAGGUAACGGCUCACCAAGACGAUGAUACGUAGCCGACCUGAGAGGGUGAUCGGCCACAUUGGGACUGAGACACGGCCCAAACUCCUACGGGAGGCAGCAGUAGGGAAUCUUCCGCAAUGGACGAAAGUCUGACGGAGCAACGCCGCGUGAGUGAAGAAAGGUUUUCGGAUCGUAAAACUCUGUUGUCAGAGAAGAACAAGUUGGAGAGUAACUGCUCCAGCCUUGACGGUAUCUGACCAGAAAGCCACGGCUAACUACGUGCCAGCAGCGGC